AACGUAGGAGACAAACGUUAUCCGGAGUUACUGGGCGUAAAGGGCGUGUAGGUGGUUGCGUAAGUCUGGCGUGAAAUUUUUCGGCUUAACCGGGAAAGGUCGUCGGAUACUGCGUAGCUAGAGGACGGUAGAGGCGUGUGGAAUGUCCGGGUGUAGUGGUGAAAUGCGUAGAGAUCGGGAGGAACAUCAGUGGCGAAGGCGGCCAUCUGGGACAACACUGACGCUGAGGCACGAAAGCGUGGGGAGCAAACAGG
rnacentral:rRNA from 1 species